CCUUCCUAUGUUUCGCGAGGUCAGAUACCAUAGGAAGGACACUCGUUUCGUAUAAUUUGUAUGUAAUGAGACCGAGUGUAUUAUUCUCUAUAUAUGCAAUCUCAUCAGUCUGUUACUAACUCUCUGUGAAUAUGUUUUAUGACCAGUCACUU